rnacentral:sRNA from 1 species
GACAGGCUACAUCGGGACUCUGAAGAGCAGCACCCUGGGGUGGGCACAGGCCCCACGGCAGGGUCAGCCUGUGGCCCUGCCUCUCCAUCAGCUCAGGCUCAUUUGUGAGAACUAAAAUAGAUACUACGGAGAACUUGCUCAACACAGAGGUGCACACCGCGCCGCGGAUCGUCAACAUCUCGGUGCUGCCCGGCCCGGCUCACGCCUUCCGCGCGCUCUGCACUGCCGAAGGGGAGCCGCCGCCCGCCCUCGCCUGGUCCGGACCAGCCCUGGGCAACGGCUCGGCCGCCGUGCGGAGCCCGGGUGAGGGUCAUGGCCACCUAGUGACCGCCGAACUGCCCGCACUGACCCAUGACGGCCGCUACACGUGUACGGCCGCCAACAGCCUGGGCCGCUCCGAGGCCAGCGUCUACCUGUUCCGCUUCCAUGGCGCCAGCGGGGCCCCGACGGUCGCCCUCCUGCUCGGCGCUCUCGGCCUCAAGGCGCUGCUGCUGCUCGGGGUCCUGGCCGCCCGCGCCGCCCGCCGCCGCCCAGAGCAUCUGGACACCCCGGACACCCCACCACGGUCCCAGGCCCAGGAGUCCAAUUAUGAAAAUUUGAGCCAGAUGAACCCCCGGAGCCCACCGGCCGCCAUGUGCUCACCGUGAGGAGUCCCUCAGCCACCAACAUCCAUUUCAGCACUGUAAAGAAUAAGGGCCAGUGCAAGGUUUGGCUGGUAUGGCCAGUCCUGGUUCUCGGCACCUUGGCAGCCCCCAGCCGGGUGACUCCUCCCCCGCUCGGGGUCAAGACCCUGCUCAAAGAGGCUCAUCUGGCCUCCUUUGUGGACAAUCAUUUCAGAGCUCCCUGAUAUUUUGCCAGCAUUUUCUAAGUGUGCAUACGUCUGUGUGUGUGUGUGUGUGUGUGUGUGUGUGUGUGUACAUGCAUUAGCUUGAGCGUGAAACUUCCAGAAAUGCUCCCUUGCCCUUUCUUACCUAGAACACCUGCUAUAGUAAAGCAGACAGGAAACUGUU